ACUGCAGGUGGGACACUGGCAUAUGGGGAGCUAUGGGGACUAGAGGGAAGGGGGGGAUGUGAGGAGUGGUUUGUGGUAAAAAGGGGGGGUGUGGGGCAGUGUUGGAGUAGUUUUAUUUCUUCCUGAGAUGGGACUGGGGAUCCCUGUAGCCCAAAGGGGGGGGCCACGAUCCGUGACCCCACAUGAGCCAUACCCAAAGAUGACCACAUAACCCUGUAUGUGCAUGACCCCAUGGCUGCACGUGACCCACAGCCCUGUGUGAACCAUACCCCCACACGACCCUGGCACUCCCUGACCCUGCCUGCCCCCAACACGCUGCGACCCAACAUUUUGUGGCCCCAGAACUCUGGGAUCCCUGCCCCCACCUCACCCCCACCAUAUAACACUCUGAGACCCGUAACUCCCUAUCACCCAACCUGACCCUACCAUCCCUUCUGACCCCAUCUGACCACAUAACUCUGUGCAGUGCCAUCCGACCCUAUGUCAUCCCAUAACUCUGUGACCUGCAGGACCCCCACAUCACCCACAACCCCGUGACCUCACCCCAUGUGGCCAUAGAACCAGCUGUGUGUGGGGAAAAGGCAUCUACUCCUCGGGGUGGGGCUGCCCCAGAGCUGCCCCAAAGGCGACAUGGGGUGGGCUGCAGCCGUUUCUCUCAGUUUGGAGAGAUGGGAACUGUCCAAAAGAGGCAGAAGGAGGACAUGAAUGCUUCUGCAGGGAAACACCUGUCACAAGGUUUGGUGACAAAGCGAUCCCACCGAGACUGAGGAAGGGGCUGGAGCUUGGGUGCUGCGGUGCUGCGUGGCAAUGAAGGAGACUUGAACCAGGGAUGGAGCUGGGAUGGACUGCAGGAAAUCAACUCCUUAAUGGGGACAGUGGGAGAAGAAAUCCAAAUCACCUGCAGAAGGAACAGCAGAACUCCUUUCAAAAAGGCGUCCCAGACUGGGGCUGUUGGAGCAGUUGGGACAGUGGUAAAGAAAUGGCUCCAACAUCAGGUCUUGGAGCAAUUGCUGCAAGACUCUGCAACAAGAAGCUGCACCCUGCUGUGGUCAGCACGGCUGUGUGUCAGCUGGGUGCUGCUGGCAAUCAUCUGAGCUGUUGCGGUCAGGAAACAUUCUAACAUCUGCACGGAUAGCAGGAUAAGUAGGAUCAGAGUGAGAGCUGUGCUGUUGUUCAGCAGACAGAUGCUGAGCAGAGCACAGCAGGGCCAGGAUGUUCUGGCCAAAGUAAGGUGGAGACUGCACAUGAGGGAAGGCACAGGUGCAGGACAGAGCAUGAGACACAGCAAUGGCAACAGCUGUCAGAAAUCCUGACUGCCUGUCUGCAUAG
rnacentral:lncRNA from 1 species